AACUGUCAACAACGGAUCGCUUGGCUCUCGCAUCGAUGAAGAACGCUGCGAAAUGCGAUAAGUAAUGUGAAUUGCAGAAUUCAGUGACUCAUCGAAUCUUUGAACGCACCUUGCGCCCUUUGGCUAUUCCGAAGGGCAUGCCUGUUUGAGUAUCAUGAACACCUCAACUCUCAUGGCUUGCCAUGAUGGGCUUGGUCUUUGGGGGUCUUGCUGGCCUGUGGGUCAGCUCCUCUAAAAUGAAUUAGCUUGCCGGUGUUUGGUGGCAUCACAGGUGUGAUAACUAUCUACGCUUGUGGUUUUCCACCAGGUAACCUUCAGCAAUGGAGGUUCGCUGGAGCUCAUAAAUGUCGCUCCUCGGUGAGGACAGAUCUUGACCGUUUGAUCUCAAAUCAGGUAGGACUACCCGCUGAACUUAAGCAUAUCAAUAAGCGGAGGCU
rnacentral:misc_RNA from 1 species